rnacentral:rRNA from 1 species
GAUGAACGCUGGCGGCGUGCCUAAUACAUGCAAGUCGAGCGAACAGACGAGGAGCUUGCUCCUCUGACGUUAGCGGCGGACGGGUGAGUAACACGUGGAUAACCUACCUAUAAGACUGGGAUAACUUCGGGAAACCGGAGCUAAUACCGGAUAAUAUAUUGAACCGCAUGGUUCAAUAGUGAAAGACGGUUUUGCUGUCUCUUAUAGAUGGAUCCGCGCCGCAUUAGCUAGUUGGUAAGGUAACGGCUUACCAAGGCAACGAUGCGUAGCCGACCUGAGAGGGGGGUCGGCCACACUGGAACUGAGACACGGUCCAGACUCCUACGGGAGGCAGCAGUAGGGAAUCUUCCGCAAUGGGCGAAAGCUUGACGGAGCAACGCCGCGUGAGAGAUGAAGGUCUUCGGAUCGUAAAACUCUGUUAUUGGGGAAGAACAAAUGUGGAAGUAACUAUGCACGUCUUGACGGUACCUAAUCAGAAAGCCACGGCUAACUACGUG